rnacentral:rRNA from 1 species
UACGGAGGGUGCAAGCGUUGUUCGGAAUCACUGGGCGUAAAGGGCGCGUAGGCGGCCUGCUAAGUCGAACGUGAAAUCCCCGGGCUCAACCCGGGAACUGCGUCCGAUACUGGUUGGCUUGAAUCCGGGAGAGGGAUGCGGAAUUCCAGGUGUAGCGGUGAAAUGCGUAGAUAUCUGGAGGAACACCGGUGGCGAAGGCGGCAUCCUGGACCGGCAUUGACGCUGAGGCGCGAAAGCCAGGGGAGCAAACGGG